rnacentral:ncRNA from 1 species
CAAGAUUUUAGUCCUAAACCUAUUAAUAUCUAGGGCUGACGUUACACAUGCUAGCAUCCGCACUCCCGUGUUCAUGCCCAACCUCCGCUCUCACGGACUAGGAGCUGGUAUCAGGCACAACACCUCCGUAGCCCAAGACACCAAGCUACUUGCCACACCCCCACGGAAUCCAGCAGUGAUAAACAUUAAGCAAUAAGUUAACGCUCGACUUAGACUAAAGCCCACCCAGGGCCGGUUAACUGCGUGCCAGCCACCGCGGUUAUACGUAGGGCCCGAGACAAUUAUCUACGGCGUAAAGCGUGACCAGAGGCCCAACACCAAGAAGUUUCAAGUAGGUAAGAGCCGUAAAACGCUUAUUACCGUAAAUUUUCCAUCAACUUCUUAUAGCAACUUCACCACACGAAAGCUGGGGCACAAACUGGGAUUAGAUACCCCACUAUGCCCAGCCCUUAACUAAGGCAGUUUAAUCACACCACUGCUCGCCAGAGAAUUACUAGCAAAAAGCUUAAAACUCAAAGGACUUGACGGUGCUCCACAGCAACCUAGAGGAGCCUGUCCUAUAAUCGAUGAUCCACGUUUAACCCGACCCUCCCUUGCAACCCCAGCCUAUAUACCGCCGUCGCCAGUCAGCCUUGUGAAAGCUCACACAGCCAGCGCAACUACCGCCCCGCCAAAACGUCAGGUCAAGGUGUAGCUGAUGGGGGGGGUAGAGAUGGGCUACAUUUCCUUUCACAGGAUAAUCCACCACAAACACUGUGAAAAUCAGUGCUAAAAGGCGGAUUUAGCAGUAAGACCGGAUUAGAUGCCCGACCUGAAGACUGCUCUGGAUCGCGUACACACCGCCCGUCACCCUCCUCGACCAAUUACUAAAACCAUAAAUAAAAAUUACAAUACACAAUAGUAUGAGGCAAGUCGUAACAAGGUAAGUGUACCGGAAGGUGUACUUGGAAUA